rnacentral:rRNA from 1 species
AUUGAACGCUGGCGGCAUGCCUUACACAUGCCAGUCGAACGGUAACGGGCCUUCGGGUGCCGACGAGUGGCGAACGGGUGAGUAAUACAUCGGAACGUGCCCGAUCGUGGGGGAUAACGAGGCGAAAGCUUUGCUAAUACCGCAUACGAUCUACGGAUGAAAGCAGGGGACCGCAAGGCCUUGCGCGGACGGAGCGGCCGAUGGCAGAUUAGGUAGUUGGUGGGAUAAAAGCUUACCAAGCCGACGAUCUGUAGCUGGUCUGAGAGGAUGAUCAGCCACACUGGGACUGAGACACGGCCCAGACUCCUACGGGAGGCAGCAGUGGGGAAUUUUGGACAAUGGGCGCAAGCCUGAUCCAGCCAUGCCGCGUGCAGGAUGAAGGCCUUCGGGUUGUAAACUGCUUUUGUACGGAACGAAAAGCCUUCUUUUAAUACAGGAGGGUCAUGACGGUACCGGAAGAAUAAGCACCGGCUAACUACGUG